rnacentral:sRNA from 14 species
AUGGGAAGAUAAUCUGGCUACAACAUCUGUCACCCUAUUGACCACCAGGGUUGAUUCACCUGAUCUGGCUGGCUAGACAAUUGUCCUCUUCCCCAUCACUGCU